AUUCACCCGCCUAACGACAGGUCUGGUAGUUACAGUGUGUAACCGCUGUCCGGGCUUUUACGUCGCCAGGCUCUCUACAGGCCGGAGUCCAGUCUUUGACACCUGAUACGAGAGAAUCUUAAAAAAAAAAACUCAGAAACCAGGACACGAGAAAAUUAGUAGCUAAGGAGUUGUAUGUCAGUCAACACAAGUAUUGAAAGGCUUGGUGAUAUUUACGACCGUUAAUGGCGGACAACGAUCAUGUUUGCGGUUCUAUAGUGUGUUGAAGAGCGGUAACGUGCAUUUGUGCGUUGGGUGCAUUAACCGUUACCACCGAUGAAGUGCGUGCGGGUUGAGUGCAUACUUCCGAUGAGUGCCGGGAGUCCAAUCCUUAAUGCCACGGACGGCGGGUCUCGAACGGACGACGUCCCAGGGAGUCUUCAAUCAUCAACGACGUACAAGGUA